rnacentral:lncRNA from 1 species
AUGCGGGCCGCCCCGGUGAUGACACGUGUCAUCAUCGUGGCGGGUCUAGGGGUGAGCCGGACAAGCUAGUCCGUUGACCAGGAUUGACGCGGGCCGCAUAAUCCCUGUCCAUUCUUUACGCGGGCCGCGUGGGAACCAGUUUCAGCAACUAUAUAAGGAACGCAUCGGAUUUCAAUUCAGUUCGUUCAUUUCUCAAUUCUCAAAUCACAAUUUCUGUAGUAGGCUUAUUAUACUCGGGUAUUAUACCCCUAAUUAGCGAAGCUCUGCCUCGUUAUUAUAACCAGGAAGCCACAAAGGAAAUACCUAAAAUAGCAAUGUAACACAAUGUGAAAGCCAAUUAGAAUAGAGCCAGCUCGAGAGCACUGACGGCUUGGAAGAACGUGGCUAUAAAAGUUACCUAAAAGACGAUGUUUUAAAUUCAAUAAAAUAAGGGUUAUCCCUAUAAACAUGUUGUAAUAAAAAUCUUGGGUUUUACCCAUGUGAUUAUAAAAAUAAAAUAUGGUGGUUUUACUCUGAUAAA